rnacentral:rRNA from 1 species
UACGUAGGGUGCGAGCGUUGUCCGGAAUUACUGGGCGUAAAGAGCUCGUAGGUGGUUUGUCGCGUUGUUCGUGAAAACUCACAGCUUAACUGUGGGCGUGCGGGCGAUACGGGCAGACUGGAGUACUGCAGGGGAGACUGGAAUUCCCAGUGUAGCGGUGAAAUGCGUAGAUAUUGGGAAGAACACCUGAGGCGAAGGCGGGUUGCUGGGCCGACACUGACGCUGAGGCGCGAAAGCCAGGGGAGCAAACGGG